UACGAAGGGGGCUAGCGUUGUUCGGAAUCACUGGGCGUAAAGGGCGCGUACGGCGGCCGAUCAAGUCGGGGGUGAAAGCCUGUGGCUCAACCACAGAAUUGCCUUCGAUACUGUUUGGCUUGAGACCGGAAGAGGUUAGUGGAACUGCGAGUGUAGAGGUGAAAUUCGUAGAUAUUCGCAAGAACACCAGUGGCGAAGGCGGCUGACUGGUCCGGUUCUGUGACGCUGAGGCGCGAAAGCGU
rnacentral:rRNA from 1 species